rnacentral:rRNA from 1 species
CUGUCCGAGGGGAUGAAUAAAUGACAGUACCCUCGAAGAAAGCCCCGGCUAACUACGUGC